UGUAUUUAAAUGUUAUCUAGCUUAGUUUAUUUUAUUUUAUUUUCUUAGAUUAAAAAGUAAAUAUAAAUUAGGGUUCUAAUAUUUUCUUCCUACACCCCAAUAGUUCAUCGUGUGCCUCGGACUCAACUGAACUCUAUGCCUAGCAUGGCCUCUUCACUGCCCUAGGCUGCCCAUGCCACUCUGGAAUAGCCUGACUCUGGCUUCAGUGCCUUGUAGCUGUACAUCUUCCAGGAACAGCUACCUGGGAGAUCAGCACCUUUACCUAUGGGCCUCCUGAUCUGAUGUGAUGGAAAUGACCUGUAGAGGCAAUAUUCCCAACAUUUUAAAUAAGAAGUUGAUAAAUUCAACACGGAGAACCUGCUGACAAGGAGGGGGGCUACGGAUAUGAACAAAUAAUUCAAAAUGGAGUGGACACAAAUGAACAAUCAAAUGGUGGAAAUUAAAAAGUCAACUGAGAGAGAGGAGCCAAGAUGGCCAAAUAGGAACAGCUCCGGUCUACAGCUCCCAGCGUGAGUGACGCAGAAGACGGGUGAUUUCUGCAUUUCCAUCUGAG
rnacentral:lncRNA from 1 species